GGGGAAAUGAAGAAGGUCGAGUUCUCGUCUUCCGUUCCUUUGGAGGAGCUUCAGUCUUUGCCUUCCAGCGCAGACCUUUCAGCCUUCCAGUGCAGACCCAUGGGCCUCCUGAUACAGACCCCUACAGAACACUACAGUGAGCUCCAGAACUUUGACUGAAUCCUUCAGUCUCCAGUGUGUGGAGAGAUCUUUUGAACUCCUCUUCAUCCGACCCUGUGGGUGGCUAUUGGCAAAAGAGAAGAGGAGAAAGAAGCACAAAAGAAGUGCUCAAGGAGAAAAGGUACCCUGAAGGAGAAAGAGAAGCUAUGUCCUGUACACGAGAUGGUCUUGUAGGCCUUGUGUUCCAGAAGUUACAGAUACCAGGUGAAUGAUCUUCCACCAGCCUGCAUCCCUGCUGACUGAGACAGGC